AUCUCAGCGUACACCAAGCGGCGCUGACGACCCUGCUGCCGCUGAAUACACAUGAGCUUUCCCUGACCGGCUAAAGAAGGAUUUUAUACCAGUCAUUUCAACAUAUACUGACAAAGGCCAAAGAAAAUAAAUUAUGUUACAACUGUAAAAUACUUUACAAAACUACAUUUCAUUUCUUCAGAGGAAUGGCAGGGAAAUUAUGACACAUCUAUGGAGCAGAUGGGACUUCAACCUCGGUUCCUGGAUCAGAGGUAAAACCACUGCCACUGUGCCACAAGAGAGGAAGAAAAUUACUGUGCGGGCAGGAUGAGUAUCUCAAACCACUGAAUCAUGACAGCAGACUCUCAAUGCAGACAUCAAUCCAUGAUCGAUCCUGUGUGGCUAUGAGGUUAUGCCUCACACUGGAACAAUAAUAUUCGUGCUACACAGAGAAAUCAACAACCGGAUAUUCAUUGGGGAAUUUGCUGUCUUUGAUUUCCUUUCUCUGCAGUCAAAAUGGAGCCAGGGGAGUCUUGCAGUUUGAUGCUAAAACAUGGAGUCAGAAGACACCUGAUGAAGGAGCAACCCUUCAAAAGCCUGGUGAUUUUAAAUAAACUUGUCGGACUAUAACUUGGUGUUCGUGUAUCUUCUGACUUUGUCCACCCUAGUCCAACAUCGGCACCUCUACACAUCUCAUCACUGAUGCUGCCAGACCCAUUCAGCACUGCCAGCACUUGCAUUUUCAUU